rnacentral:rRNA from 1 species
AACGAACGCUGGCGGCAUGCCUAACACAUGCCAGUCGAACGAGACCUUCGGGUCUAGUGGCGCACGGGUGCGUAACGCGUGGGAACCUGCCCUUAGGUUCGGAAUAACUCCCCGAAAGGGGUGCUAAUACCGGAUAAUGUCUUCGGACCAAAGAUUUAUCGCCUUUGGAUGGGCCCGCGUUGGAUUAGCUAGUUGGUAGGGUAAAAGCCUACCAAGGCGACGAUCCAUAGCUGGUCUGAGAGGAUGAUCAGCCACACUGGGACUGAGACACGGCCCAGACUCCUACGGGAGGCAGCAGUGGGGAAUAUUGGACAAUGGGCGAAAGCCUGAUCCAGCAAUGCCGCGUGAGUGAUGAAGGCCUUAGGGUUGUAAAGCUCUUUUACCCAGGAUGAUAAUGACAGUACCGGGAGAAUAAGCGCCGGCUAACUCCGUG